UACGUAGGGUGCGAGCGUUGUCCGGAAUUAUUGGGCGUAAAGCGCGCGUAGGCGGCUACUUAAGUCGGAUGUGAAAGCCCUUGGCUCAACUGAGGAAGUGCACCCGAAACUGAGUGGCUUGAGUACCAAAGAGGGUCGCGGAAUUCCCGGUGUAGAGGUGAAAUUCGUAGAUAUCGGGAGGAACACCGGUGGCGAAGGCGGCGACCUGGGUGGAUACUGACGCUGAGGCGCGAAAGCGUGGGGAGCAAACAGG
rnacentral:rRNA from 1 species